rnacentral:rRNA from 1 species
GAUGAACGCUGGCGGCGUGCCUAAUACAUGCAAGUCGAGCGAACAGACGAGGAGCUUGCUCCUCUGACGUUAGCGGCGGACGGGUGAGUAACACGUGGAUAACCUACCUAUAAGACUGGGAUAACUUCGGGAAACCGGAGCUAAUACCGGAUAAUAUAUUGAACCGCAUGGUUCAAUAGUGAAAGACGGUUUUGCUGUCACUUAUAGAUGGAUCCGCGCCGCAUUAGCUAGUUGUUAAGGUAACGACUUACCAAGGCAACGAUGCGUAGCCGACCUGAGAGGGUGAUCGGCCACACUGGAACUGAGACACGGUCCAGACUCCUACGGGAGGCAGCAGUAGGGAAUCUUCCGCAAUGGGCGAAAGCCUGACGGAGCAACGCCGCGUGAGUGAUGAAGGUCUUCGGAUCGUAAAACUCUGUUAUUAGGGAAGAACAAAUGUGUAAGUAACUAUGCACGUCUUGACGGUACCUAAUCAGAAAGCCACGGCUAACUACGUG